UACGUAGGGGGCAAGCGUUGUCCGGAUUUAUUGGGCGUAAAGAGCGUGUAGGCGGCUUUACAGGUCCGUUGUGAAAACUCGAGGCUCAACCUCGAGACGCCGGUGGAAACCGUAAAGCUAGAGUCCGGAAGAGGAGAGUGGAAUUCCUGGUGUAGCGGUGAAAUGCGCAGAUAUCAGGAGGAACACCGGUGGCGAAGGCGGUUCUCUGGGCCUGUACUGACGCUGAGGAGCGAAAGCGUGGGGAGCGAACAGG
rnacentral:rRNA from 1 species